GGGCCUAUAGCUCAGUCGGUUAGAGCGCAUCGCUGAUAACGAUGAGAUCGCAAGUUCGAUUCUUGCUAGGCCCACCA
rnacentral:tRNA from 1 species